rnacentral:sRNA from 1 species
CCUGAAGGUCCCCUGGCAGUGCUGAGGGACCGAGCCCAGCAGAUCUCAUGUCCUCUAUACCUGUGUCCGAUGCUGGAGGCCCUGGAGGAAGGGGGGCCGCCGCUGACUCUGGGCCUGGAGGGGGAGCACCAGCGGUCCAACGCUGCCUUGGCCUUGCAGCUGGCCCACUGCUGGCUGCAGCGGCAGGACCACCAUGGUGCUGGGGAGCCGAAGGCAUCCAGGCCAGGGCUUCUGUGGCAGCUGCCCCUGGCACCUGUGUUCCAGCCCACAUCCCACAUGCGGCUCGGGCUUCGGAACACGGAGUGGCCGGGCCGGACGCAGGUGCUGCGGCGCGGGCCCCUCACCUGGUACCUGGACGGUGCGCACACCGCCAGCAGCGUGCAGGCCUGCGUUCGCUGGUUCCGCCAGGCGCUGCAGGGCCGCGAGCGGCCGAGCGGUGGCCCCGAGGUUCGAGUCUUGCUCUUCAAUGCUACCGGGGACCGGGACCCGGCGGCCCUGCUGAAGCUGCUGCAGCCUUGCCAGUUUGACUAUGCCGUCUUCUGCCCUAACCUGACAGAGGUGUCAUCCACAGGCAACGCAGACCAACAGAACUUCACAGUGACACUGGACCAGGUCCUGCUCCGCUGCCUGGAACACCAGCAGCACUGGAACCACCUGGACGAAGAGCAGGCCAGCCCGGACCUCUGGAGUGCCCCCAGCCCAGAGCCUGGUGGCCUGUCUGUGAGAUGGGAAGACCGGACUGAAGCCUGUUGACCAUAUGCCAGGCAGUGCUUUCUGCAGACCCCCUUGCAGAGACCUUGUGAUGGAGAAUUAUGCCCAUUUGACA